GGGACCGUAGUCUAGGGGUAUGAUUCUCGCUUAGGGUGCGAGAGGUCCCGGGUUCGAAUCCCGGCGGUCCCC
rnacentral:tRNA from 1 species